ensembl:lncRNA
GAAGGACAGGUGGUUUUCUAGAAAGAGUGGUAUGGGUUUUGUUUUAUCCUCCACACUAAUGCACUUCACUUUUGCUUUUAGUGUCAACUUGAAUUUGAGUGUGGCUGUGGAAGACUGGUUCCUUGAUGAUGUCUGCAAUGAUCUCUGAUUCCAUCCCGUCAUGCCAAGGGUAUUUUUCCCCACAGAACACCAAAUUGAUGGAGAGACAUUGAUGUCAUUGGACCAAAGAAUAGUGGAGCAAAUUGUGUCAGUAGUCUAAGUUUGAAUCAAAUUCACAAAAUUAAUCCAAAAGCUGUAAAUAUUUCCCAGCAAACAGCCCAGCAAAUGACCCAGCAGCAUCUGUCCAGCACAAUGACCCAGCAUCUGUCCAGCAAAAUGACCCGCCAUCUGUCCAGCACAAUGACCCAGCAGCAUCUGUCCAGCAAAAUGACUCAGCAUCUGUCCAGCAAAAUGACUCACCAUCUGUCCAGCACAAUGACCCAGCAGCAUCUGUCCAGCAAAAUGACCCAGUGUAACAGUAUAACUUUAGACCGUCCCCUCGCCCAUACCCAGGCGCGAACCAGGGACCCUCUGCACACAUCAACAACAGUCACCCACGAAGCAUCGUUACCCAUCGCUCCACAAAAGCCGCAGCCCUUGCAGAGCAAGGGGAACUACUACUUCAAGGUCUCAGAGCAAGUGACGUCACCGAUUGAAACACUAUUUAGCACGAACACCGCUAACUAGCUAGCCAUUUCACAUCUGUUACAUCAGCAUCUGUCCAGCAAAAUGACCCAGGAUCUGCCCAGCAAAAUCACCCAUUAAUUAGCCUUCAGCAUGAUAUAUCAACUGGCCAGCAACAGGAAACAUAAUUCAGCCCGAAUCUGGCCAUCUGGGCUUUUAGACUUCCAGAAUUUCCAGACGUAUUAAAAGAAAAACCUGAAAGAAAAUGUGACGAUCUCCGUUGCCCUGCGGUUCUCUCGAAGUGGAGGUCUCAGAUUGGGCAGGUGUUGUUUGCCUUCAUGUGUACCUAUACUUGGAGUCAUGGAACGGCAUGAUAAAGAAUAAAUACAAGUACAGGAAAUGCAGAAGAAGUUUAGGGGGCAAGGGAAAAAAUAAACCCAGAUGACAUCAAAAAUGAAGACCUGACCAAAAUAGCCAAGAUUGAGAUUGGUGAGAAUUCCUUCAGUCAAGAGUUACAUGUUGAACAGAUGCAGGUGGAAUGCCAAGAAAAGAGACCGAACAUCAGUUCCCUACAAGACAAAACGAAAAGGACUGAAAAAUAACGUUUUUAUGAAACAAGGCACCAAGGACAUCUUAAAACUGUACCCAGCACUCCAUUUGUCAGCCAUUGUCUGAAGGUCACUGCAGCCAUUUUGCUCCUCCCCUACCUGUUCAAAGAAGAUCCAAGUGGGUACGUCACAGGUGAGGGGAAUACCUUUACGGAUGAGAGCCACAUUCAACUCUUCCUGGAUGGAGAGGAGCUACUCAUUAAAGAGCUGGAGGACAUCUCCAUGGAUUGGGAGUGGCAAUGGGGGUCCAUUUCCUUUUUAAUAUUGAGUAUGCAGCAUCAUUAAAAAGCACUACGCUGUUCAUUCAGAUGUGUUCUGGGAAUUGAUGAGGGAGAUAAAUUACCAACAAAUGUAGGAAUGGCUAACUUUUUGCUGUAGAGAUGGAUAAGGGAGACCAGAGAUUUCUGGGACGUCUGCAAGUGAGAUUUCUGGGACGUUUAAAGUCAAUAAAAUGAAUUUGUGACUUUACAAGUUCACCACUCAAUGUUAUUUGUAUUAUUAUUGUUCAUAGUAUUAUUAUUGUUAUUGUUCAUAAUGGAAUACAUGGGUCAUAAAAGUUUCCUACAGGAACCUUAACGCCCUAAAAGGUUAUUUGAGGAACCUUUUUAAAAGAUUCCUCAGGGAAAAGGUUCCUGAAAGCAAAGAGAGUUCCAAACCUCUCUGACAAUGGGCGAAUUCGAUUAUAGACCGGACACCGGUCUGUGGCCUGUACAUGUUAUCAACAAGGCAGCAUGUUGCAUCAUCCAGAAACGCACAUCUCCUUUCUACAAAAUACAUGUUCGAUUUGUUUUUUUUGGGGGGGGGUUGCGCCACGGGAUUUUCUUUCAGGAGUAGAGGUUUCUCCUCCGUGUGUUGCGAUUAUUCCCUGUGUGUGGCGACUUCGUUUGGGCGUGUUCUUCCACCUGUUGUUGUUGAGUUGGGACUUCUAAUAAACGAUUGUGCUACUGGGGCUUCCUUGCUCUCCUGCUCAUGAGUCC